rnacentral:misc_RNA from 1 species
GAUGAAGAACGCAGCGAAAUGCGAUACGUAAUGUGAAUUGCAGAAUUCAGUGAAUCAUCGAGUCUUUGAACGCACAUUGCGCCCCCUGGUAUUCCGGGGGGCAUGCCUGUCCGAGCGUCAUUGCUGCCCUCAAGCACGGCUUGUGUGUUGGGCCUCCGUCCUCCUCCCGGGGGACGGGCCCGAAAGGCAGCGGCGGCACUGCGUCCGGUCCUCGAGCGUAUGGGGCUUCGUCACCCGCUCUUGUAGGCCCGGCCGGCGCUUGCCGACACAUCAAUCUUUUUUCCAGGUUGACCUCGGAUCAGGUAGGGAUACCCGCUGAACUUAAGCAUAUCAAUAAGCGGAGGA